rnacentral:rRNA from 1 species
CNNAUGCAGUCGACGGCAGCACAGUAAGAGCUUGCUCUUAUGGGUGGCGAGUGGCGGACGGGUGAGGAAUACAUCGGAAUCUACUUUUUCGUGGGGGAUAACGUAGGGAAACUUACGCUAAUACCGCAUACGACCUUCGGGUGAAAGCAGGGGACCUUCGGGCCUUGCGCGAUUGAAUGAGCCGAUGUCGGAUUAGCUAGUUGGCGGGGUAAAGGCCCACCAAGGCGACGAUCCGUAGCUGGUCUGAGAGGAUGAUCAGCCACACUGGAACUGAGACACGGUCCAGACUCCUACGGGAGGCAGCAGUGGGGAAUAUUGGACAAUGGGCGCAAGCCUGAUCCAGCCAUACCGCGUGGGUGAAGAAGGCCUUCGGGUUGUAAAGCCCUUUUGUUGGGAAAGAAAAGCAGCGGGCUAAUACCUUGCUGUUCUGACGGUACCCAAAGAAUAAGCACCGGCUAACUUCGUGCCAGCAGCCGCGGUAAUACGAAGGGUGCAAGCGUUACUCGGAAUUACUGGGCGUAAAGCGUGCGUAGGUGGUUGUUUAAGUCUGUUGUGAAAGCCCUGGGCUCAACCUGGGAACUGCAGUGGAAACUGGAUGACUAGAGUGUGGUAGAGGGUAGCGGAAUUCCCGGUGUAGCGGUGAAAUNGCGUAGAAA